rnacentral:tRNA from 1 species
GGAGCAAUAGGUAGAGCAUACGGCUGUUAACCGUAGGGUCGGAGGUUCGAGUCCUCCCCG